rnacentral:rRNA from 1 species
ACGAACGCUGGCGGCGUGCUUAACACAUGCAAGUCGAACGGAAAGGCCCUGCUUUUGUGGGGUGCUCGAGUGGCGAACGGGUGAGUAACACGUGAGUAACCUGCCCUUGACUUUGGGAUAACUUCAGGAAACUGGGGCUAAUACCGGAUAGGAGCUCCUGCUGCAUGGUGGGGGUUGGAAAGUUUCGGCGGUUGGGGAUGGACUCGCGGCUUAUCAGCUUGUUGGUGGGGUAGUGGCUUACCAAGGCUUUGACGGGUAGCCGGCCUGAGAGGGUGACCGGCCACAUUGGGACUGAGAUACGGCCCAGACUCCUACGGGAGGCAGCAGUGGGGAAUAUUGCACAAUGGGCGGAAGCCUGUUGCAGCAACGCCGCGUGCGGGAUGACGGCCUUCGGGUUGUAAACCGCUUUCGCCUGUGACGAAGCGUGAGUGACGGUAAUGGGUAAAGAGGCACCGGCUAACUACGUG